rnacentral:rRNA from 1 species
GAUGAACGCUGGCGGCGUGCUUAACACAUGCCAGUCGAACGAUGAAGCCCAGCUUGCUGGGUGGAUUAGUGGCGAACGGGUGAGUAACACGUGAGUAACCUGCCCUUAACUCUGGGAUAAGCCUGGGAAACUGGGUCUAAUACCGGAUAGGAGCGUCCACCGCAUGGUGGGUGUUGGAAAGAUUUAUCGGUUUUGGAUGGACUCGCGGCCUAUCAGCUUGUUGGUGAGGUAAUGGCUCACCAAGGCGACGACGGGUAGCCGGCCUGAGAGGGUGACCGGCCACAGUGGGACUGAGACACGCCCCAGCCCCCUACGGGAGGCAGCAGGGGGGAAUAUUGCACAAGGGGGGAAACCCUGAUGCAGCGACGCCGGGGGGGGGAGAACGGCUUUCGGUUUGUAAACCUCUUUCAGUAGGGAAGAAGCGAAAGUGAGGGUACCUGCAAAAGAAGCCCCGGCUAACUACGUG